ACUCCUACGGGAGGCAGCAGUGGGGAAUUUUGGACAAUGGGCGAAAGCCUGAUCCAGCCAUGCCGCGUGCAGGAUGAAGGCCUUCGGGUUGUAAACUGCUUUUGUACGGAACGAAAAGCCUCUUUCUAAUAAAGAGGGGUCAUGACGGUACCGUAAGAAUAAGCACCGGCUAACUACGUGCCAGCAGCCGCGGUAAUACGUAGGGUGCAAGCGUUAAUCGGAAUUACUGGGCGUAAAGCGUGCGCAGGCGGUUUUGUAAGACAGAGGUGAAAUCCCCGGCGUCAACCUAGGAACUGGCCAUUGUGCAUCUGCAAGGCUGGAGUGCGGCAGAGGGGAUGGAAUUCCGCGUGUAGCAGUGAAAUGCGUAGAUAUGCGGAGGAACACCGAUGGCGAAGGCAAUCCCCUGGGCCUGCACUGACGCUCAUGCACGAAAGCGUGGGGAGCAAACAGGAUUAGAUCCCUGGUAGGCUCUG
rnacentral:rRNA from 1 species